UACGUAGGUGGCAAGCGUUGUCCGGAUUUAUUGGGCGUAAAGCGCGUGUAGGCGGCCAGAAAAGUCCGCUGUGAAAACUCGAGGCUCAACUUCGAGCUGUCGGUGGAAACUUUCUGGCUAGAGUCCGGAAGAGGAGAAUGGAAUUCCUGGUGUAGCGGUGAAAUGCGCAGAUAUCAGGAAGAACACCCGUGGCGAAGGCGGUUCUCUGGGACGGUACUGACGCUGAGACGCGAAAGCGUGGGGAGCGAACAGG
rnacentral:rRNA from 1 species